UAAGUAUACAGCUGCGGUGCUGGGAAUGGCUCACAAAUCAAUCAUCCCGUGUGCGAACAGAAUUUCCAGGUUGGUUUCCUACAUUUUUUAUUUUUGCGACUUUCUUUGAAAUUGAAAUCUCUUCAUUUGUAACAUCCUUGCCCUUGGAUCUUCCUUCUUCUCUAAACACCCACUCAUUCCUCACAAUUCCUUUGACCACUGAUGUUUUCCAGCCCUCCCUCCCCCAGUGCGCUUUCACAAGGCGUAAGACAGUGCGGCCUGGCCCAACGCAUUGCGUGCUGUUGGUUCUGGGCCUGUGCCUUUGGAGCAGCCCUCAGAGCCCCUUGGAGGUUUCUGCAGGCCCCACAGUCAGUGUAAUAUUUUAGCAUUUCUGGUGUAAUUGUGUUUCCUUCAAUAAGCAGUACACCAGAAUGCAGUUCUGUGGAUGAGCAUAUACAGACAACAUCAUACACGCUUGCUGAGGCCUGUGCUUAAGAACAAAAAAAUGCAAUCCAGGAAGCCUUGGAGGCAUUCUGGCUUCACUAGUGCUCAUAUAUUAGAACAAAUAAAUGUGGAUUUGUUGGAUUAUAUCCAAUUGAAAUACCACAUCAGUCAGUGGUUUUCUUUCAAACAAUUAAAUAUUGUACCAAAAUAAUUUUAGUGCUGCUAUUUAGGGGGGAAAUACGAUCAGAGAAGCAGCAGAGGGAACACACAUACCUACAAGCCGUGCAGCAGAUGGGAAGGAGGCACCCCUGCUCUUUUUGGUGCUCAAUUCCCUGCCUCAGAACCCCAAAAUGCUGGUGGUGGAUGUGCCGAGGAGCAGCACCUGCCCUCUCCGACGUGCUCACAGUGAAGUACUUCACAAUGAAUGCCUGGGGUUGUUGGAUGGAGCCAGCCCUCAGCACCUCCUGCCCCAGGCCCAUGGCCUGUCCCGCCCUUCGGCAUCUCUGGUGGCUGCUCCAGUGACCCCACAUCUGCACAGGCCUCAGGACAGGCUGGCAUGUCGCCCACCAAAACACCAAAGAUGUAGAGUGCGAGAGGCCAGGAAGCACCAGGUGGACUGAAAAUAGAGCCUCAAUGUCUGUGAAAACCAUCAGGGAGGAACGAUGUACUGAGGCACUGCAUUCUUCCCAAACAGCUUUAAGAUAUCAGGCAAUGAAGAUGGAUUUUUUCCAGAAGACACCACUAGAACAAACUGAAAGCGAGCAUCACCCACAUCCACCAAGGAGCAUUCAACCCCA
rnacentral:lncRNA from 1 species